rnacentral:rRNA from 1 species
CACCGCGGUUAUACGAGGGGUUCAAGUUGAUGUUUGUCGGCGUAAAGAGUGAUUACAGGAGUAUAUAUAACUAAAGCCGAAGGCCCUCUGGGCUGUUUUACGCAUCUGGGGGUUGUUAAGCUCUUUAACGAAGGUAGCUUUAAAAAAGAUUAUAUCCUCGAGUUCACGAUAGCUAAGGCA